GCUGUUUCAUCUUUGUUUUAAAGAAAUAUAAAAAUGAGUUGGGUUAAGUCUCGCAACGAGCGCAACCCUCGUGUUUAGUUGCCACUAUGAGUUUGGAACCCUGAACAGACCGCCGGUGUUAAGCCGGAGGAAGGAGAGGAUGAGGCCAAGUCAU
rnacentral:ncRNA from 1 species